rnacentral:rRNA from 1 species
AAGCGCUUGCAAUCAGACUCGCUUGCGGUUGAUCAACGUUCCUUCUGGUGCGUGCACUCUGCCGUUGGCGGGCCAGCAUCGGUUGGGGCGGCGGGACAAAGACGGUUGGAAUGUGGCUCCCCUCGGGGAGUGUUAUAGCCUUCCGUGCAAUGCCGCCAGCCCCGACCGAGGUCCGCGGUUCGCCUAGGAUGCUGGCUUAAUGGUUGUAAGCGA